CUGCAUUAGCUAGUUGGUAAGGUAACGGCUUACCAAGGCAACGAUGCAUAGCCGACCUGAGAGGGUGAUCGGCCACACUGGAACUGAGACACGGUCCAGACUCCUACGGGAGGCAGCAGUAGGGGAUCUUCCGCAAUGGGCGAAAGCCUGACGGAGCAACGCCGCGUGAGUGAUGAAGGUCUUCGGAUCGUAAAACUCUGUUAUUAGGGAAGAACAUAUGUGUAAGUAACUGUGCACAUCUUGACGGUACCUAAUCAGAAAGCCACGGCUAACUACGUGCCAGCAGUCGCGGUAAUACGUAGGUGGCAAGCGUUAUCCGGAAUUAUUGGGC
rnacentral:rRNA from 1 species